GAUGAACGCUGGCGGUAUGCUUUACACAUGCAAGUCGUACGGGGGUUUUUAACUCAAGUGGCGGACGGGUGAGUAACACGUAAGAAUUUGCCUUUAGGAGGGGGAUAACAGCUGGAAACAGCUGCUAAUACCCCAUAUGCUUUCGAGUGAAAUGGAUUUUUCCGCCUAAAGAGAAGCUUGCGGCUGAUUAGCUUGUUGGUGAGGUAAUGGCUCACCAAGGCGACGAUCAGUAUCUGGUUUGAGAGGACGAUCAGACACACUGGAACUGAGACACGGUCCAG
rnacentral:rRNA from 1 species